rnacentral:rRNA from 1 species
GACAGGUGGUGCAUGGCUGUCGUCAGCUCGUGUCGUGAGAUGUUGGGUUAAGUCCCGCAACGAGCGCAACCCUUGUUCCAUGUUGCCAGCACGUAGUGGUGGGGACUCAUGGGAGACUGCCGGGGUCAACUCGGAGGAAGGUGGGGACGACGUCAAGUCAUCAUGCCCCUUAUGUCUUGGGCUGCAAACAUGCUACAAUGGCCGGUACAAUGGGCGUGCGAUACCGUGAGGUGGAGCGAAUCCCUAAAAGCCGGUCUCAGUUCGGAUUGGGGUCUGCAACUCGACCCCAUGAAGGUGGAGUCGCUAGUAAUCGCGGAUCAGCAACGCCGCGGUGAAUACGUUCCCGGGCCUUGUACACACCGCCCGUCACGUCAUGAAAGUCGGCAACACCC